UACGGGAGGCAGCAGUGGGGAAUAUUGCACAAUGGGCGCAAGCCUGAUGCAGCCAUGCCGCGUGUAUGAAGAAGGCCUUCGGGUUGUAAAGUACUUUCAGUCGUGAGGAAGGUGUUAAGGUUAAUAACCUUAGCAAUUGACGUUAGCGACAGAAGAAGCACCGGCUAACUCCGUGCCAGCAGCCGCGGUAAUACGGAGGGUGCGAGCGUUAAUCGGAAUUACUGGGCGUAAAGGGCACGCAGGCGGUUAAUUAAGUUGGAUGUGAAAUCCCCGGGCUUAACCUGGGAAUGGCAUUCAAGACUGGUUAGCUAGAGUCUUGUAGAGGGGGUAGAAUUCCAUGUGUAGCGGUGAAAUGCGUAGAGAUGUGGAGGAAAUACCGGUGGCGAAGGCGGGCCCCUGGGACAAAGACUGACGCUCAUGUGCGAAAGCGUGGGGAGCAAACAGGGAUUAGAUACC
rnacentral:rRNA from 1 species